rnacentral:rRNA from 1 species
ACUCAAAUGAAUUGACGGGGGCCCGCACAAGCAGUGGAGCAUGUGGUUUAAUUCGAUGAUACGCGAAGAACCUUACCAGGACUUGACAUCUACGGAAUCCCCUAGAAACAGGGGAGUGCCCGCAAGGGAAUCGUAAGACAGGUGGUGCAUGGUUGUCGUCAGCUCGUGUCGUGAGAUGUUGGGUUAAGUCCCGCAACGAGCGCAACCCCUGUCCCGUGUUGCCAGCACUUCGGGUGGGAACUCACGGGAGACUGCCUAUGGAAAGUAGGAGGAAGGUGGGGAUGACGUCAAAUCAUCAUGCCCCUUAUGUUCUGGGCUACACACAUGCUACAAUGGCCGGUACAACGGGUCGCAUAGCCGCAAGGUUAGCUAAUCUCAUAAAACCGGCCUCAGUUCGGAUUGUAGGCUGCAACUCGCCUACAUGAAGUUGGAAUUGCUAGUAAACGCAGAUCAGCUACGCUGCGUUGAAUACGUUCCCGGGCCUUGUACACACCGCCCGU